CCCCACACUCCGGCACAAUACGUUGGCAGUCUGAAACUGGCCAUGGUGGGAGGAUUUACAUCAAGGUAAUCUGCAAAUUCUUGGAAUUGGGUCUUGCUGUUCCACCAAGAGCCAGUUGUUAAACAUUUACUGGGACCCUACUGCCGGGCCUGGGGCCACAGAAGCAACCCUGACCCUUCCCUGAAGUGUGGUCCAUGGACCAAGCCUUAGCCUUGCUAGGGAGCUUUCUAGAAAUGAAGAAUCCUGUCCUCCCCCACAGGCGUCUGGAUCAGAAUCCCUGGAAGUGGGGUCUAGCAACCUGCAGUUUAUGAAGAUGCUCAGGUAGGCUACAGUUUGACAUGCAAUUCUCUAAGCAAUUUGGGGUAAGCAGUACAGGCAGCUGAAAGAGCUGGCUUCCUGUCCCAGACAGCAAGGGCUUUGCAGGGAUGUGGAGCAUUCCAGUCUGAGAGUGAUACUGUCCCACUGCAUAGUCAGGUGUCCUCUGAUUUCCCCCUCAAUAUUGCAGAGAGAAAAUUUAAGAGAAAAAAAUCCAUAUUUCCACCAGUCACACAACUGUUCUCAUCUCUCCAUGUUUCUUCCGUGCACAGGUUUAUGUAAAAUAGUUAGUGCAGUAUUUGCUUUUUACACCUUAGUGCACACACACUUGCAUCCCCGAUUUCUUCCUGAACAACUACUGCCUUAGAUUUUGACAUGGUUGCCCAAGACCUGCUGACUUUUUCAAAAAGAGAUUUUGUGAAGUUCUUUGAGCUGCCUUUUAUUUUUUAUUUUUCUAGAGCAGGCAGCCAGGGCUGUACAGAGAUGAUUGGUACCUGGAAUGUAAUCUUCAGAAUUAACAUUCCUCAUGCCGGGCCGGGCCUGGCCUGGGGAGCAGGAAGGAAACAAGCCUCUCCAGUCACGGGCAGAGUCCCAUGGAGAGGGGCACAGAUCCCUAAUCCGUCUUAUUCUGGGAAGUAUUUUGGCACAGCCUGGCUCUGUGGUUUAUAAACAAAUUCUUUGUUUGCUGGGGGUAUUUGCAGCUCUGCUUACAAGGAAGUUAUACACCCCUCUGCAGCCUUUCAUAAUGUGGCUGAUUUUUACCUUCCGGUAAGGGAUGGGUUGUAAACUGCCUGGGUUUGGGGCAACACAAAUCACUUCUUAAAGGUGACUUUACUGUGCAGUGAAAGGCUUGGGAAAGCCUCUAGCAUCCUCUAGCGUCAUUUAUUCUGUGGCUUUUCCUAAUACCUUGCUCAUUCACUCAACAAAUAUUUAUUGGAUGGCUCCUGUGACUCCAUCACAUCACAGAGGUUGGGCCGGGCGGAGACAGAGAAACUGAAGAACAAUGUGCAGUUCUUCUGACCAAGUGCUUAUGUGGCCUGUGAAGUAGUGAGGAGAGUCAGAGAGCACAACGGAGAGAAAGCAAUAUUUGGUCCCACCUGGAGGGAAUGGUGGGAGUUCUCCCAGCAACAACAGCCUCUCAGGUGGAGGAAAUAUCUUGUGUGAAGGGUUGAGGCACAGAAGGAGGUGCUCAUGGAAGUGUUUGGAAGGCAGGAGGAGGUUUGAAGCUGUGUGGCAGGAAAUGAGGUGGAAAUAUUGGACAAGUGGUCAAGUUAGGUGGUCAAGUGCCUACGGUGCCAAGUGGACUGUUCGGUCUUUAUUCUGUAGACAUGUGGCUGACAGGGUGCCAUCCACCAGACCCACACCCUCCUUUUGUCUGUGCACCCACUAAUCCAUGCAUACACCCAGCCACCAAUCCAUGCUCCGUCCGGCUUCCACUCAUCUAUCUAUCCACCCAUCCAGCCGAAGCAUCCUCUGCACCAGGCACAGGAUUACUUCUUGUUUCUUUUUCUUGGAACCUGAGGGUCUUGAGGUUUCCCUAGCAACCCCUUGAUACAUAUUCAACUCCAGAACUAUCAGCCCCACAUGCAUCCCUCUGCAGACUAUUCAGGUGAUGGUGGUAUUAUAAACAAGGAAUUAAGUAGUCAUGUGACAGUGAGGCUCACCUGGACUGAUGACUGGGAAACAUGUACCCAGGAUAAAGGUAUCAUGGGUAGGUCUACUGAGCACAGAAUGAUGUGGAAAUCUCAUUCUGACAAAUAAUUCUUUUUAAGAGUCAGUUAUAGAGCUGUUAGAGCACAUGGUAAUGCUGUUAGAGCAUAUGGCAACAUAUGCCCUUCACAUCAUUAUGGUGUAUUUAUGCACUUCAAAUUUUAAAAAGGAAUCAGGAAAUUAAGAAUGCACUGUUUUAAAAACUCUAUGAAUUAACCUUUUGUUGAUUUGGGGUAAGGGGAGGAGGGAGCAGUGUUUAGCUCUUGGUCUUCUCAAAUGGGUUCAUUUUCGUAAAUACUUUGGUCUAACAUCUUCCAUGAUCUUUUAUGGUGAAAAAAACAUGCUAAUUAUAGAAGUCCUAAUACACAAACACACACAUACACACACAAAAACACACACACACGACAAGGUAAACAAAAAUCACCCAGAAAUUUUGUUAACAAUUUGAUGUCUUUUCCCCAUUCUUUUCUCUGCAUAUUUUUAAGUAAUUGUUUUAAAAUGUCAAAUCCAUUUUAUAUAGCUUUGAAUCUGAUUUCUCCUCCCUCCACUUAAUACAGGAUACGAGAAAAUACAAUUUUUUUUUUGAAAAUGCCGCCUUAAAGGCUGCGAAGAGCAACCUUGAAUGGAUGCUCUAUAAUUUACUGAACCAAUCCCCUUUAUUUGAGGGCUUAGGAAGUUGCCAAUGUUUUGCUCUUAUUAAAUGAUGGUGACCAUCCUUCUACCUCUGUCAGAACUCUGACAAUUUCCUUUAGAUACAAUUCUAGAAACGAGACAACCGAGAAAAAAAGUGUUUUAGAUGCUGAGACUUAAAUCCCUCUUGCCACAUUGCCUUCCAAAAAGGUACUUGGGCUUCACGAGGUUAUAGACAUGUGUAGAAGGUGUUCCCAGCUUUCCGCAACGCUAGGGGAGUGCGGUAAGAGCGCGUGGCUGGCUGGCUGUCCCCGGAGCGUGCAUGAUGCUUCGGAGGAAACAUUUAUUUAAGAAAAACAAAACAAAACAGAAUGAUUUGCAUUUCCUGCUUUCUGUCGUUCCAAACUCAAACCAAUCUCCUUAUAAAAAAUUUAAAGAAAUGGCUCAAGAUUCUCUUAACCUGAGUUUCAAACCGUUGAUUUAAGUUUCGGAUCUGAAAGUUGUAUAACGAGUUUCUGUUGAAUAAGACAAUUUCCUACUCACUUUUUACACCUAAACGUAAGGUUUACUCACUAAGACGUCAGACCAUUGACACUUCUCUCGAAGAAGGAGACCGCGUCCCCUGCGCUCUCAGAGCCGCAGCCUGGCCAACAAGGAAAGGACAAUGUCAUAUGGUUCAACCUAGCCCACGUAUAAGACUGAGAGACGCGAGGAAGACACCUAAGGCAAAGUAAAGGGAUGCCAGCUUUCUCCCUGAAAAAGUAUCCACUAUGCCGACAGUCCUUUCUUGGCUUUUUUGUGUGGUCUUACCACUUAAGCAUGAAUCCCUAAACGCUAUACUUACUUUUGUCUGUGUUUGAACUUCAUAUUGUGAAAAAAUAGAGUGGCUAUUCUUUGAUGUCUGACUUCUUUUGCCUUACAUUAUGUUUUCUUUGUUGUUGUUUCAUCUAAGUUGAUAUUGCAGCUAUAGUUUUUACUUGGCCAGUCUAUUGUAUUUCUUAUGUAACUACAAAUUAUUUAACCACUUUACUAUUGAUAGAUAUUUGGAUUAUUUAGCUUUUGGAUAUUAUGAAAAAUGCUGCUUGGAACAUUCUGGUACAUGUGUUCUGGUACACAUGAGCAAGCAUGUCUAUGUGUAGAAAGGCUGAAACAUAGUGUGUAUGUAUUUUAAGCUUUGAUAGAUAAUUCCAAAAGUGUUUCAAUUCAUUUAUAUGUAUGUAUUCAUACAAUACGGUCAGAGAAUUCUAACUGCAAUAUAUUCCUGCAUAGUUUGAUGAAAGCAAAAAAAAGGAGAAAUGAGUUAUUAAAAAUUCAGGACAAAUAUAAAGCACAAAGUAAGACAGGAGCAAUAUCAGUUCAAAUGUAUCAGUAAUUACAAUAAAUGUAAAUGGAUUCAAUGGGCCAUAUGAAAGACAGAGACUGUAAUGACUGGAAUAAAAAAUUCACACAUACAGUUACAUGCUAUUGACAAGAGAUAUACCAAACAUAAGCUCACAGCAACAUUUACAUGAAUAUAUUAGGAAAAGAAUACAUUAGGAUGAAAAGAAUAUAUUAGGAAAAUGCUAUCCAAAAGAAAGCCAAAAAAAUAUCAUUAGUGAUAGAAAGGACAUCUAUCACUAGAAAGCUAUAACAUUUAAAAAAAUUACAGUUCAUAAAAUAGCUUCAAAAAACAACAAAUUGAUUUCUUCAUGGAUUACAUGGAUAAAUUGACAUAUCUACCAUCAUGAUGGAGAUAUCUGUACUCAUUUCUCCAUUUUUGAUAGAUAAAGCAGAAAAUAAAAAGAACAGGGAGUGAAAAUUGAUUAAUACAGAUUAUUAGAAUAAUCUAAAAUGGAACUUCUACAAAUAGCAAUAAUAGAAAUUAAAAAUUAAGUGGAUGGAUUUAAAAGUGGAUGAGACACAGCUAAGGAGAGAUUUGAUGAACGCAAAGAUAUGUCAGAAAAAAUUAUGUGGCACAUUGCACAGAGAGAUAAGAAACAAAAACCAAGAAAAAAUUUAAGAUAUAUAAAUAAGCUAUGUAGGACAAUGAAGUCUAAUAUAUGCUUACCUAGAAUUCUGGAAGGAGAAGAGAGACUGGAACAGAGAAACACUUAAAGUACAACAGCUCAACAUUUCCCACCACAGAUUCAUGAAGCCCAGUGAAUCCUACGUAGGAUAAAAAAAUGUAAUGCCCAUCAAGAUGCCUCAUGAUCAUGCUCCAGAACAUCAGGGUGAGGCCCUUAACCCACAUCAAAGGUCUCACCGCAGAGGAGUGUUUAAUUUGUGGCAUUUUGAAAAAAAUUAAAAGGUAGAACUUAAAUCUUGGACAGGUAAAAUAGCAUAUGACAGA
rnacentral:lncRNA from 1 species